UAAUUGUGGUUUCAUCACAGACAUGAAAUAUUCUUUUGUCUUUUACAAAAGAUUUCCGUGCAGUGGAACAAUCAAUGCAUCUGUAGACUUAUUUCUGGAGUCCUUCUUGCGAAGCGA